AGAACCGCUGUUAAAACUACCACCCCAAAGACUGCGAGGAGCUGUUAUAUUUCGUGAUGAUUUUAAUGGUAACCAACUCAAUACAAACAAUUGGAUGAUCGCUGUUACAGCUACAGGCGAUUGGCAUGACGAAUUCCAGUGUUAUACAAAUGAUGCUAGAAAUGUUUAUGUAAAUAAUGGUUACUUAUACCUCAAACCUACUUUAACAGUUGACAGUGGACAUUUUACUGAGCAAGAUCUAUAUACUGGAGUUAUGGAUGUAAAAAAAACGUGGGGAGUAUGUACGGAUAGUGGAUUUAGAGGUUGUUAUCGUGAUGCUAAGAAUGGUUUAUUACCACCAAUACUGUCUGGAAGAGUUGAAAGUUAUCCUACAAUUAAGUAUGGAACGGUUACGAUCAGAGCCCAGAUUCCCAAAGGGGACUGGUUAU